rnacentral:rRNA from 1 species
CCUACGGGAGGCAGCAGUGGGGAAUCUUGCGCAAUGGGCGAAAGCCUGACGCAGCAACGCCGCGUGCGGGAAGAAGGCUUUCGGGCUGUAAACCGCUUUCAGCAGGAACGAAAAUGACGGUACCUGCAGAAGAAGGAGCGGCCAACUAUGUGCCAGCAGCCGCGGUGAUACAUAGGCUUCAAGCGUUGUCCGGAUUUAUUGGGCGUAAAGAGUUCGUAGGCGGUCGAGUAAGUCGGGUGUGAAAAUUCUGGGCUCAACCCAGAGACGCCACCCGAUACUGCUUGACUUGAGUUCGAUAGGGGAGUGGGGAAUUCCUAGUGUAGCGGUGAAAUGCGCAGAUAUUAGGAGGAACACCGGUGGCGAAGGCGCCACUCUGGAUCGAUACUGACGCUGAGGAACGAAAGCAUGGGUAGCAAACAGGAUUAGAUACCCUGGUAGUCCAUGCCGUAAACGGUGGGCACUAGGUGUGGGUUUCUAUUAACGAAAUCCGCGCCGUCGCUAACGCAUAAGUGCCCGCCGUCGGGAGGUACGGUCGCGAGAACGUAAACUACAAGAAGUAGACGGCGNGAGACGNGCGACGCGACGACGAGGAGAGG